AUUGAACGCUGGCGGAAUGCUUUACACAUGCAAGUUGAACGGCAGCACGGGGCAACCUGGUGGCGAGUGGCGAACGGGUGAGUAAUAUAUCGGAACGUGCCCAAUCGUGGGGGAUAACGUAGCGAAAGUUACGCUAAUACCGCAUACGAUCUACGGAUGAAAGCGGGGGAUCGCAAGACCUCGCGCGAAUGGAGCGGCCGAUAUCAGAUUAGGUAGUUGGUGGGGUAAAGGCUCACCAAGCCAACGAUCUGUAGCUGGUCUGAGAGGACGACCAGCCACACUGGAACUGAGACACGGUCCAGACUCCUACGGGAGGCAGCAGUGGGGAAUUUUGGACAAUGGGCGCAAGCCUGACU
rnacentral:rRNA from 1 species